rnacentral:rRNA from 1 species
GUUAUAGGGACAAGUGAAUAAGUGCACAUGGUGGAUGCCUUGGCGAUUACAGGCGAUGAAGGACGUGGAAGUCUGCGAAAAGCUUCGGGGAGCUGACAAACAAGCAUUGAUCC